rnacentral:rRNA from 1 species
UGCAGUCGAACGAAGUAGCAAUACUUAGUGGCAGACGGGUGAGUAACAUGUGGGUAUCUACCCUUUGGCCUGGAAUAACACGAGGAAACUUGUGCUAAUACCGGAUAAGUCUUUACGGAGAAAGCUUUAUGCACCAUUGGAUGAGCCCGCACUCGAUUAGUUUGUUGGUAGGGUAAUGGCCUACCAAGACUAUGAUCAAUAGCUGAUUUGAGAGGAUGAUCAGCCACAUUGGGACUGAGACACGGCCCAAACUCCUACGGGAGGCAGCAGUGGGGAAUCUUGCACAAUGGAGGAAACUCUGAUGCAGCGAUGCCGCGUGAGUGAAGAAAGCCUUUGGGUUGUAAAGCCCUUUCGUCGGGGAAGAAAAUGACUGUACCCGAAUAAGAAGGUCCGGCUAACUCCGUGCCAGCAGCCGCGGUAAUACGGAGGGGGUUAGCGUUGUUCGGAAUUACUGGGCGUAAAGCGCACGUAGGCGGAUUAGUAAGUUAGAGGUGAAAUCCCAGGGCUCAACCCUGGAACUGCCUUUAAUACUGCUAGUCUUGAGUUCGAGAGAGGUAAGUGGAAUUCCGAGUGUAGAGGUGAAAUUCGUAGAUAUUCGGA